rnacentral:rRNA from 1 species
CCUACGGGUGGCAGCAGUGAGGAAUAUUGGUCAAUGGACGAGAGUCUGAACCAGCCAAGUAGCGUGAAGGAUGACUGCCCUAUGGGUUGUAAACUUCUUUUAUAUGGGAAUAAAACGUUCCACGUGUGGGAUUUUGUAUGUACCAUAUGAAUAAGGAUCGGCUAACUCCGUGCCAGCAGCCGCGGUAAUACGGAGGUUCCGAGCGUUAUCCGGAUUUAUUGGGUUUAAAGGGAGCGUAGGUGGAUUGUUAAGUCAGUUGUGAAAGUUUGCGGCUCAACCGUAAAAUUGCAGUUGAAACUGGCAGUCUUGAGUACAGUAGAGGUGAGCGGAAUUCGUGGUGUAGCGGUGAAAUGCUUAGAUAUCACGAAGAACUCCGAUUGCGAAGGCAGUUCACUGGACUGCAACUGACACUGAGGCUCGAAAGUGUGGGUAUCAAACAGGAUUAGAUACCCCAGUAGUC